rnacentral:piRNA from 1 species
UACCUUGCUUCUGAGUGCAAGACUGUGGUGU